GUGGAGUGAUAACUCUUGGUUUUUGAGGUUUCUCCAUGGGAUUAAUGAGUGUACAAAUGAAAAGAAGUGCGAUCGCGAAGGCAAUAAUUCCAAAUCCUAUAAGGAAUUUGAGGUUGACGCUGAAAAUGCGAAUUAAGCUGUUAUUUCUAGUUUUAUCCUUCCGUAGAAUACGAUUAGGAUUACGGAUUUGGGGAUUUUCAGUGGAAGAUUUCGAAGCUCUGCUCCGAGUACUUCCCCGUGAAGUUCCCGCCAUUGUUGAU
rnacentral:misc_RNA from 1 species